GAUGAACGCUGGCGGCGUGCCUAAUACAUGCAAGUCGAACGGGGAGUAGCAAUACUCUUAGUGGCGAACGGGUGAGUAACGCGUUGGUACCUGCCCCGAAGCGGGGGAUAACGGACCGAAAGGUCCGCUAAUACCCCAUGUGCCCGGUAACGAGUAAAGGUGAAAACCACUUUGGGAGGGGCCUGCGUCCCAUCAGCUAGUUGGUAAGGUAACGGCUUACCAAGGCGAUGACGGGUAGGGGACCUGAGAGGGUGGCCCCCCACAAUGGAACUGAAACACGGUCCAUACACCUACGGGUGGCAGCAGUAGGGAAUAUUGGUAAUGGGCGCAAGCCUGAACCAGCAACGCCGCGUGUGCGAUGACGGCCGUCGGGUUGUAAAGCACUUUUGACUGGGACGAGGAAGGACGGUACCGGUCGAAUCAGCCUCGGCUAACUACGUG
rnacentral:rRNA from 1 species